rnacentral:rRNA from 1 species
GAUAUGAACUCUCCGAAAAAAUUACGCUGUUAUCCCUAAGGUAAGUUAAUCUUAUAAUCAAAAAUUCUGGAUCAAAAAAACAUAAAUUAAUGAAUAAAAUAUUAAAAGUUAAAUAAAUUUUAAUGUCACCCCAACAAAACUUUAUAUUCUAAAAAAUUGUUUAAUCAACAAAAAAUAAUAAUUAAUAAAUAAAGUAAACUUCUAUAGGGUCUUCUCGUCCUAUAAAAAAAUUUUAGCUUUUUAACUAAAAAAUUAAAUUCAAAAUAAUUAAAAAAAGAAAGUUUAUUUUUCAUCAAACCAUUCAUGCUAGCCUUCAAUUAAAAGACAAAUGAUUAUGCUACCUUCGUACAGUUAAAAUACCGCAGCCUUUUAAUUCAUAAAAAUCAAUGGGCAGGCCUGAUCUUAAAUUAAAAUCAAAAGACC